rnacentral:lncRNA from 10 species
GUGUUGCCAGGCUGGAGUGCAGUGGCGCGAUCUCGGCUCACUGCAACCUCUGCCUCCCACGUUCAAGCGAUUUUCCUGCCUCAGCCUCCCGAGCAGCUGGGAUUACAGGCACGCACCGCAAUGCCCAGAGUGAGAGUUUCGACCAGGAGUGGAUACUGAGGAGAGCAAAGAUCACCUGGUGCUCAUCAAGCCGGACUUCCAGAGGCAAAGCUCCUUAACUGAAGAAUUCAGAAAUGAUCCAGUGCAGGACCCUGAGAAGCCCACAGGAGAAGAAGAAUCCCUAAAGUGAGAGAAACCUGGGCCCUUGAGUGACUGCAUGGAGAAGAGCCCCAUCAUUGACUCAUGUUAGACUGUGA